GGCUGCUCAGUUGGUAGAGCAUGCGACUCUUGAUCGCAGGGUUGUGAGUUCAAGCCCCACAGCCC
rnacentral:tRNA from 1 species